rnacentral:misc_RNA from 1 species
AAGUCGUAACAAGGUAACCGUAGGUGAACCUGCGGUUGGAUCAUUAAAAAGAUCAGAAGCCCGCUGGAGGAUGUCCUCUAGUAGGCGUUUUCUCAUCCGGAAGGGGAGGGGACCUCCAAGUCUUCGAACCGGAAGGGUGCGGAGAAUCACAUCAUGUGAACCGUUCUGUCUCUGGCGGUGGGAUGGCUUCAAACCCCAUCUGUCAGCCUGGUGUCAAAAGCCAGCGCCGUGGACAAACCGCCAAAUUAUUAAACAACUUGUAAUUCUAACUUUGAGUCUGACUUCAGUUUAUAUUAAAUUAUACAAACAACUUUUGGCAACGGAUCUCUUGGCUCUC